CCCUCAGGGUGGGUAUUGGUUGGAUUGUUUGGUCGCUAACGCACAAUGAUGAGGCCCGGGGGUCGCAGCCCCCAGAUUGUGAUGUCUCAGAGUGCGUGGGCCUGAUGACGCAAGCCAGGGUGCUUGCUCCAGGAGCUGGUCCAGGAUGUCUGCCCCUUCUCCAUCCUGACCCUCUGAGACCCUUCCAGUCGCAGUAGGAACCCAUCCUAUGCCUGGAUCACCUCUCUGCUACAGGUCAGCAGUGACGAAGGACAUAAUGGUACCGGUGCUUGGUGGAACAGACUGCUCACUUCAUGGCAGCCAGCAGGAGAGGACGGGAGGAAGAAGAGGAACUGGGGACAAGCUAUACCCUUCAAAAGCAUGACCCCCACCCCCAUAGUGGCCUAUUUUCUUUAAAGUCACCCUCUAGCGUCCAUUGCCUCCCAACAACAUUGUUUAUGACUCUAUCAAUGGGUCUUUCCAUUGAUAAAGACAAAGCCUUCUCA